rnacentral:rRNA from 1 species
ACCACAUCUAAGGAAGGCAGCAGGCGCGCAAAUUACCCAAUUCUAACAGUUUGAGAGAGGUAGUAACAAGAAAUAACAAUACAAGGCAAUUAAAAUGCUUUGUAAUUGGAAUGAUAGAAAUUUAAACCCUUUUUAAAGUAUCAAUUGGAGGGCAAGUCUGGUGCCAGCAGCCGCGGUAAUUCCAGCUCCAAUAGCGUAUAUUAAAAUUGUUGCAGUUAAAAAGCUCGUAGUUGAAGUUCUGCUAAAAGUAACCGGUCUGCUUUUAAUAAAAGUGGUAUCUUGGUGUGUAUUUAGCAAUGAUGUCCUUUGAAGUGUUUUUUACUUUAUUGUAAUAAAGCAUAUUCAGGACUUUUACUUUGAGAAAAUUAGAGUGUUUCUAGCAGGCCGACGCUUUGAAUACUGCAGCAUGGAAUAAUAAGAUAGGAUUUUAGUU